ACGAGUAUGUCAGAGUUUGAUCCUGGCUCAGGAUGAACGCUGACAGAAUGCUUAACACAUGCAAGUCGACUCGAGUCUUCGGACUUGGGUGGCGCACGGGUGAGUAACGCGUAAAGAACUUGCCCUCUAGACUGGGAUAACAGAUAGAAAUGUCUGAUAAUACCGGAUAUUAUUGUUACAUGGCAUCAUGUAGGAAUGAAAGGAGAAGAUUGCUAAGAGGAGAGCUUUGCAUCCUAUUAGCUAGUUGGUAAGGUAGCGGCUUACCAAGGCGAUGAUAGGUAGCCGGCCUGAGAGGGUGGACGGCCACAAGGGGACUGAGAUACGGCCCUU
rnacentral:rRNA from 1 species